GUUUUUAAGUCUUGGGGUUGUUUCUCUCUUUUGAAGCAUAUGCCAAUGAUGCACAUGCAUUUCUAUGCGUAUUUUGCUAUGUUCUUAUUAUUAAUUUUUCUUGGAGGGUAGUUCCAGUUUUGGAAGUUAGAGGCAAGUUGGUCUCUCUCUUGGUAGAGCCUUGUUUUUCACCCCAACAACUUUUGUUCGAGUGCACAGCAUGAUUAAAAGCGUGCACGCACACAGUGGACGAGUGAUAGAGACAAGGGGCAACAUCCAAA
rnacentral:misc_RNA from 1 species